CAGUCGCCGCGGUAAUACGGAGGGCGCGAGCGUUACCCGGAUUUACUGGGCGUAAAGGGCGUGUAGGCGGCCUGGGGCGUCCCAUGUGAAAGGCCACGGCUCAACCGUGGAGGAGCGUGGGAUACGCUCAGGCUAGAGGGUGGGAGAGGGUGGUGGAAUUCCCGGAGUAGCGGUGAAAUGCGCAGAUACCGGGAGGAACGCCGAUGGCGAAGGCAGCCAUCUGGGACAACACUGACGCUGAGGCACGAAAGCGUGGGGAGCAAACAGGAUUAGAUACCCGGGUAGUCCCUGUCUCUUAUAC
rnacentral:rRNA from 1 species